GUUGAAAGGGUGACGUGGUGGGUCCAAUGAAAUGAAUCCAACAUUUUCUCCGAACUUUCUCGUCCUCCAAAAAGAAUCGAACGGUGUAGAAUUUAUGAGAUGAGAUCCAUAAGACAUUGAUUUGACUUAUUUCUUAUGUGAAAGGUGGAAGGUGGAGAAGAGUGAGAGACAAAGAUUGAAUAGAAAUCAAAUAGGGAAUUUAUUAGGCUUUUGCAAAUCUAAAGAAAAGAGAAGAGAAGAGAAGAGAUGGCAGGAAUGUUCAAGUUCCUGAGUCCUAGGGCUCCUCCCCAGCCGAUUGACAUCCAAGCCGCCGCCUUGUGGGGCGUCGCUGCCGUUACCACCGCUCUUUGGAUCGUCCAGCCGUUUGAUUGGUUGAAGAAGACCUUUUUGGAGAAACCAGCGCCCGAAGAGAAGUGAACAAAGAUGUCAAAAUUCUGGUAGAACUUUCUAAUAGUCUUAUGAUGGGUUGAUGAGGAGAGAAUAGGGGAAGUUGAAUAUAUUUGAUCUGAAUAAUGUAAUUUGACUUUCUAGUCCAAUGUUGGUUUCAUAUUGAGGUUUUUCUUUCCCUUGAUUCUUGCAAAUCAUAUGAUAAAUUCUGGCUCAUAAAUUUAACAUUGUUCUCUCUCUCAUUUUUA